rnacentral:rRNA from 1 species
GACGAACGCUGGCGGCGUGCUUAACACAUGCAAGUCGAACGGAAAGGCCCUGCUUUUGUGGGGUGCUCGAGUGGCGAACGGGUGGGUAACACGUGAGUAACCUGCCCUUGACUUUGGGAUAACUUCAGGAAACUGGGGCUAAUACCGGAUAGGAGCUCCUGCUGCAUGGUGGGGGUUGGAAAGUUUCGGCGGUUGGGGAUGGACUCGCGGCUUAUCAGCUUGUUGGUGGGGUAGUGGCUUACCAAGGCUUUGACGGGUAGCCGGCCUGAGAGGGUGACCGGCCACAUUGGGACUGAGAUACGGCCCAGACUCCUACGGGAGGCAGCAGUGGGGAAUAUUGCACAAUGGGCGGAAGCCUGAUGCAGAAACGCCGCGUGCGGGAUGACGGCCUUCGGGUUGUAAACCGAUUUCGCAUGUGACGAAGCGUGAGUGACGGUAAUGGGUAAAGAAGCACCGGCUAACUACGUG